AUUGAACGCUGGCGGCAUGCCUAACACAUGCAAGUCGAACGGCAGCACGGUCUAGUUUACUAGAUGGGUGGCGAGUGGCGGACGGGUGAGUAAUGCGCAGGAAUAUGCCUUGAAGAGGGGGAUAACUUGGGGAAACUCAAGCUAAUACCGCAUAAUCUCUGAGGAGAGAAGCUGGGGACCUUCGGGCCUGGCGCUUUAAG
rnacentral:rRNA from 1 species